ensembl:lncRNA ARLNC1 androgen receptor regulated long noncoding RNA 1
UGGGUCAUUUCAUGAAUGUCACACAAAUGGGAUCAUGCAGUAUGUGGCCAUCUGAGAUUGACUCUCUUCCCACAGCAUAAUGCCCUUGACAUCCAUCCAAGUUACUCUCACUCUCGGGCUGGAGUGCAGCGGCAUGAUCUCGGCUCACUGCAACCUCUGCCUCCCGGGUUCAUGUAAUUCUCAUGCCUCAGCCUCCCAAGUAGCUGGGAUUACAGGCACACGCCACCAUGCCUGGCUGAUUUAAGAUUAUUUUUUUCACAAAACUUUGAAGACAUAUCUUCUUAUCUUCUGGCUUCUGUUGUUGUUCAUUUACAGUAAGGAUUAUUGAAGGCCAGUUUACAUGCAGUAAAAUUCAGCUCAUUUACACAUAUAGGUUUUCAGGUGCUGGUUCCAUGGCUCUUCCUGAGCCGAAAAUAAGGAAACUCCAUAGACCUUGUCCACUGGAACUCGUUCCCAUCUACCCUCCACUCUAUCCAGCCCCAUGAGGACAAGGAACAUGAUUGGUUUUGCUCACUGCCGUAUCUUCCGUACCUAGUACGUAACAGGACAUCAAUAAAUAUUAGUUGAAUGGAAGAUUAAAUCAACAAAAUGGGUGAUGGAUCUCUGCAGUAAGUGGAAGAGUUCUUCAUGGCCCCCAAGGUUAUAUCCAUCUAGAACUUCAGCACGUAAUUUCAUCUGGAAAUAGUGCCUUUGCGGAUAUAAGUUAGGUAAAACUGAAGAUGAGAUCAUACUGGAUUAGGAUGGGAUCUAAAUCCAAUGAAAAUGUCUUCAUAAAAAACAGGAAAGAACCCAUAGAAACACAAGGAAGAAGGUCAUGUGAAGAUGGAGGCAGAGAUUGGAGGGAUGCAGCCACCG